rnacentral:tRNA from 1 species
UCCCUGGUGGUCUAGUGGCUAAGACUCUGCUCCCAAUUCAACAGGCCCAGGUUCAAUCCCUAGUCAGGGAA